rnacentral:misc_RNA from 1 species
UUUUUUUUUUUUUUUUUAAAUCAGAUAAGAGGAAUGGAAUGACUUGAUUCACUUGCAUAAACAAGUGAUCAGGCGUAUCAUUCAAGAGAUGAUCCGUCUAAUAAUCAUACACGGUUAUUUUAAACAAAUUUUAUUAUAUAUAUAUUUUAAUAACAUCUAUAUGUGAUCCAAGCUAGAUAUAUCAUAUAUAAAUUAGUAUUAAAAUUGUGUAUUAUAAUUCAUAUUUACUGAAAACGAUAAUUUUAAAUAUGAUUUUGUGAUGAGAUGUCUUAUCCUCUCGUGUGUUCAUAUUCUCCCUAUUUAAAAUGGGGAAAUCACACAUCAUUCACACAAAAAGCAGGCAAGUGAAGUUAAUUACUUUGAUGCUGUGAUAUUGAGAAGUGGUUUCAAUGCAAUCAUUUAUUUGCUUUAGCAAAAGAAAACUACAAAACAUAAAAAAUAUCGAACUUCUCACUAAAUAAAGUCUGGCAAAUUAAGUCUAGUUGGUGAUCCUAGGGACAAAGAAUCAAUAAGACAAAAGAGAACCCAAAAAACCAAAAACCUACAAAUUAUCUUACGACUAAAUGGAUCAAGUUUCAAACAUGACAAAGAAUCAAUAAAAAAAUGCACUGCAAGUUUCAACAGCUCCUUCCCACCAAGAUUUGAGUAAAAACUACAUUUACCUUAAGACCUAGCGGCAAAUAUUGAACAUCCUUUAGUUUUUGUUGAAGAGCUACAAUCACAUUUUCUUCUGACUUCAACCCAACACAUUAUAGAACAUAAACCGCAAUCUUCUAUUUUUAGAAGAUAAAAAGGAAAAAAGAAAAAGGAAUUUUUAGGGUUGGGAAGAAAAGGGAAGAAAAAGGCCGCCCACCCGGGAAUAAAAACAAGUUGGUUCCUUGCGGAUUCUGCGACAGCCACAUGCGGACCUUGAUAGAUAUUACCAUGUGUUACAGAUUGAAGGGGCAUUUGAUAUGUGAGGAAUCGGUGUAGCCUCCACCUAAAUGGUUGGUGGGAAUGGAAAAGAAAUCUUCUCCAACAGCAACCCAAAAGAGUUAACCAAGCAAAUACAUUUCUCGUUGGACCGUCUUUAUGCAUAGUACAUGUACAAGCUGUUUGCAGCAGCACAGGCAAUUGAAUUUUCAGUUGGAUGCCAUGCAAGAUGCAGCAACUUUGUUGUGAAAUCAAAAGAAUUUCCAUUUGCAUCAACUCCAGGGCUUUCUGUUCCCCGUCUUACAACACGUGUUAUACUGCUUAGGGAUCUCGAAGGCCUUGAAGGGGUUUGAACUUGUCUCCUCAUU